rnacentral:lncRNA from 1 species
GUCUUUGAGGAAUCGCCACACUGUUUUCCACAAAGGUCAAACUAAUUUACACUCCCACCAACAAUGUACCCUUGAAUCCUGACUAUUGGAGAAACAGCACCAUAUUUUGGAUACUGAUUCAGACCAUAUACAGCCUUCUGGAGAAUCUUGCCCCAGUCCUGAAAGGUAUUUCUAUUCAUCUAGUUGGUGCUAUAACUGAGUCUUCAAAAGACAAUUCCACUGUUCUAUCAAGAAAGCUGCUUCAGGAUGGUGGGAAAUAUGGUUUUGGUAUCAGGAUGAUGCUGGCAUCAUAAAAUGAGUAUUUUUCUUCAGACUUCAGACUGCUGUGCUGGAAGCAAGAAUUUCAAGCAUUGGAUCUUAGCUUGCUGGGCUCCAUAGGGGUGGGAUCCACUGAGCUAGACCACUUGGCUCCCUGGCUUCAGCCCCCUUCCAGAUUCAAACUAAUGGUGUCUCACCAACACAUGGCAUGAGAACACCUGUAGCAAUCUGUUUGACAGUCAUUCACGAGCAACUUAGAAUUGCAAGAAAGAUGUCCUUGGCGUGUACACCCUGUGGAAUCUGGUUCAUCUUCAAUCUGUCAGAAGGCAUCAGAGGUGGUUUUGACUCCUUAUGUCUUGGACCUGUGCACAAAAAGUGUAAAAUGGAUGGAACAUCAGACAGCUCAUUAUAGAGACAAGUAAGCUCCAGUUCCAAAGUUGGUUGACAGAACAAGUCAUGACCUUGUGUGGAGGAAAAUGAGAUCCCGAGUGAAGUCUACAAUGUCAUUGACUCUGAAGAAGGACUCAGAGACCCAUUGGUGUUUAAUGACCCUUACUGGCCUAUGCAAUGGAAACUGAUCUUGAGUGUGCCUUAAAAUUCCAUUUCAUGGAGAACUGUGCGUGGUUGAAUUUUGAUUGAUUACUCAAUUAACUGAUGUAUUGGUAGAGUGAUUAAGAAAGAAGACUUUGGGAUCAGACCAACCUGGUUUUGAAUUCAAGCUCAGCAACUUACUAGGUAAGGAGGAGAAAAGAAAGAAGGAAAAAUUGGAAAGAUAAAUGGGGUCUUUCCAGUGAAGGCUCAAUUUUCCUACAUAAUUAAGAGUUUGGAAUUCGGGCAAUAUCAAGAACCACAUCUGUCCUGAAAUCAAUUAUCUCUGUUUGAAACACAAGAAAUAAGAAGACCAUUUUGAGAAGAACAGAGAGUAGCCUUAAGAAAAUCCCUGUCGCAAGCACUCUGGGAUUUGGACUCAAAUGCUAAUUAUACAGAACCACUUGGGUGCCCAGCUGCUGUCCAUUCUCUACACUUAUCCCACCUGAUGGAAGGCUGUUAAGAAAAACAUCACUGCAAUGCCUAAUAAACAGACAUGGGUCCCAGACCCAAUAAGAGUGAAACCAUCCCCCUAUUUAAAUGAAAUUAUGGCUGAUGAGAAAGACAAAUUAAUUUCUCUGUCCCUAGUAUUACACAAAACUUUGGAUGCUGCCAUUGUUACAAUUUUAUUUUCCCCAGGAGCUCAGAGUCCCACCUUCAUUCUUUUUGUUUAAUGCUUAAGCUUGCCUGUCCACCUAUGGAAGACUAGAAUGAGCAAAGACCAUGUAUUCAAUGAUCUGUAAAUCUAACAGGAAACAAUAUAAUAAAUAUAUUGUGUUUGCUAACCAAAUCUGUGAAUGAUUAGAUCGACUGGUUAAUGAUUAGAUGGAUUAACACAUCAUUUCUAUUUUCUCUCUCCUCCCCUACUUCUUGUUUUAAUGAUACCUUCCAAGUUUUAUUUCUCCAAGCCUAACCCCUUACAUAAUACAAGAGGACAACAGUUUGCAAAAUAAAUAUCUGUUGGCCCUAACUGGUAAAUACUGAAAUAGAUUUCAAGUAAUGUGAGUGUUUUUGAAACCACCUAAAUCUGUAAGCCACCCUGCAAGGAACAAGGGUAGCAAAGUGAAUAAGCCAGACAUGUAAAAAUAAAGAUGACAAAAUGGAAGGCAAUUAAUGCCUGUAAUGGAGGUGGGGAAGGGGGGAAUGACAAGUUAAUAAGAAAUUUAUUUUUAAAUGCUAUCAUCUGCCAUAAAAUAUCCAUGCUUAUUUUAGAAAAUAUGUAAAAUGUUUAAGAAUUAAACAUCUUUAAAAAAAUCACAUGAACUCAUCACCCUGCAACAAAACACACACAGAUGAGUGCACACACUUAAACACACAUUAAUUUUCAAUUAGUAUAUAAAGUUAAUAUCCUGCUAAGUACAAGAUACUAUAUCAUGAGCACUUUGUCUC